UCGGGAAUUUUGGGCAAUGGGCGCAAGCCUGACCCAGCAACGCCGCGUGAAGGAUGAAGUUUCUCGGAAUGUAAACUUCAUAAGAAUGGGAAGAAUAAGUAGGGGAUAAUACCCUCUAUGAUGACGGUACCAUUUGUAAGCUCCGGCUAACUCCGUGCCAGCAGCCGCGGUAAUACGGGGGGAGCAAGCGUUGUUCGGAUUUACUGGGCGUAAAGGGCGCGUAGGCGGCGCGACAAGUCAGUUGUGAAAUCUCUGGGCUUAACUCAGAGCGGCCAACUGAUACUGUCGUGCUAGAGUGCGGAAGGGGCAACUGGAAUUCUCGGUGUAGCGGUGAAAUGCGUAGAUAUCGAGAGGAACACCUGCGGCGAAGGCGGGUUGCUGGGCCGACACUGACGCUGAGGCGCGAAAGCCAGGGGAGCGAACGG
rnacentral:rRNA from 1 species